AGGCCUAACACAUGCAAGUCGAGCGCAGUCCUUCGGGACCGAGCGGCGGACGGGUUAGUAACGCGUGGGAACAUACCCUUUUCUACGGAAUAGCCUCGGGAAACUGAGAGUAAUACCGUAUAAGCCCUUCGGGGGAAAGAUUUAUCGGGAAAGGAUUGGCCCGCGUUAGAUUAGAUAGUUGGUGGGGUAAUGGCCUACCAAGUCUACGAUCUAUAGCUGGUUUUAGAGGAUGAUCAGCAACACUGGGACUGAGACACGGCCCAGACUCCUACGGGAGGCAGCAGUGGGGAAUCUUAGACAAUGGGCGCAAGCCUGAUCUAGCCAUGCCGCGUGUGUGAUGAAGGUCUUAGGAUCGUAAAGCACUUUCGCCAGGGAUGAUAAUGACAGUACCUGGUAAAGAAACCCCGGCUAACUCCGUGCCAGCAGCCGCGGUAAUACGGAGGGGGUUAGCGUUGUUCGGAAUUACUGGGCGUAAAGCGUACGUAGGCGGAUCAAAAAGUUAGGGGUGAAAUCCCGAGGCUCAACCUCGGAACUGCCUCUAAAACUCCUGGUCUUGAGUUCGAGAGAGGUGAGUGGAAUUCCAAGUGUAGAGGUGAAAUUCGUAGAUAUUUGGAGGAACACCAGUGGCGAAAGCGGCUCACUGGCUUGAUACUGACGCUUAGGUACGAAAGUGUGGGGAGCAAACAGG
rnacentral:rRNA from 1 species